UUGUGGAUCCUCAGUUGUAUCACGUACCUCCCUCAUCAGAAUUGGCUCAUAAUAAUUUUUUGUGUUUCAUAAAGUCAGAUCCUCAGAGGACCGUAAUUGUCAAGGUUGGGUACUCAUAAAAAGGCUGCAGGCUCUGACAGCCUUAUCAGAAGCCACAGUCUCAGAGACACUGGGGACACAUGCCCGCCACUGAUGGAAUAGCCCGCUGAGGUUGAUACUUUGAAGGCAGCAACCUUGGUUUGGAUGUGUAGUCUUGGGGAUUUCUUUAAAAACAUAAAGUUCUUUACAUCACAGCCAUACGUUAGGUUUUAGUUUUCAUUUGCUUUGCCAGAGCUGUCCUUAUAAAAAUAACUUCUUCCCAUGUGUGCACAGAACUAUGUUGUGCUUCUGGACUCCACACUCCCCAGAUCCCAGUAUGACUACAUCUUGCCUCAAGUUUCUUUCACCGCAGUGGGCUACCAUAAACACAUCACCUUGAUUUUUAAUCCCACGAGGAAGCUGCCUGAACAGGACAUCGCACAAGGAUCCUACAUUGCCCUGCCAUU
rnacentral:lncRNA from 10 species